rnacentral:lncRNA from 1 species
GGGAAGAGGGAGAAAUCCUUUAGUUUUGCGAUUAGGCUGCCAGGCUUUGUAAAGGGCUUAAAAACAAAGUCAUGCUCAGCCUUUUGUAGGAGAGAUCCAGAUGUUAUGUAGAUUUCUGUUUGCAUGUUCGUUUUGAGCGGAUCUGGCGGUGAGCGCUGUAUUUACGUGUGUGUUGCAGGACUUCAACGUUUUUCGACGUUGCGCUUGUGGAAUGUAUGCCGGAGUAUUAGCUCGAGGAUCUACAAGAUUAAAGCUAGUCCCAAGAGCAACCGAAUUGCUGUGACUGACUUUCACGGGACUUUAAAGAGAGAUCGGCUCAAAAGUCCAAAGAGAAAUGAGGUGUCUGGUAUGGAAGUGCAUCUCAGUCAACCGCCAGCUCCUUUUGCCGAGGCUGGAAAUGGUUUUAACAGGCGGUAAAAUUUCAUCUUGUGGUGUCAAAUUGGGGUCAGUUUGGGGUUAGCGCUCUCAGUGUCCGAGCAGGAGCUGUCCAGCUGUGUGGGGAUUCAUUAAGGGCAAAAGAUCCGUUUCAAGAAAAACAAUACAAAGACAAUCAGAGGGCUAAAGAUCCUCUUCAAAUCGCAUUUUACAAGUGCACCAGAACAAAUAUGGAUGCUGAAACCUAUUCCCUUCAAACUCCUAAAUCGGCUUCUUAGUCCUUGGAGGGAGUGAGAGAGAAAAUCCUCUAAAACUUAAGAAGAGUCUGUUUUCAAUCAGCCUUUCCGAAGUGUGGCAUCUUAGUCCUUUGCUGGCUUUGAGACAUGCCUCUCUCGCUCGGUCGCUACCUCCCUCUCUCU